CACGUAGGGGGCAAGCGUUGUCCGGAUUUAUUGGGCGUAAAGAGCUCGUAGGCGGUUCGGUAAGUCGGGUGUGAAACCUCCAGGCUCAACCUGGAGACGCCACCUGAUACUGCUGUGACUCGAGUCCGGUAGGGGAGCGUGGAAUUCCUGGUGUAGCGGUGAAAUGCGCAGAUAUCAGGAGGAACACCAAUGGCGAAGGCAGAUCUCUGGGCCGUAACUGACGCUGAGGAGCGAUAGCAUGGGGAGCGAACAGG
rnacentral:rRNA from 1 species